rnacentral:rRNA from 1 species
UAACACGUAUCCAACCUGCCGAUAAUGGGGGGNGGNCUUUCGAAAGAAAGAUUAAUACCCGAUGGCAUAAUAGAACCGCAUGGUUUGAUUAUUAAAGAAUUUCGGUUAUCGAUGGGGAUGCGUUCCAUUAGGCAGUUGGUAGGGUAACGGCCCACCAAACCUUCGAUGGAUAGGGGUUCUGAGAGGAAGGUCCCCCACAUUGGAACUGAGACACGGUCCAAACUCCUACGGGAGGCAGCAGUGAGGAAUAUUGGUCAAUGGACGAGGGUCUGAACCAGCCAAGUAGCGUGAAGGAUGACUGCCCUAUGGGUUGUAAACUUCUUUUAUACGGGAACAAUGUGGUCCACGUGUGGAUUUUUGUAUGUNYYNUAUGAAUAAGGAUCNGCUAACUCCGUGCCAGCAGCCGCGGUAAUACGGAGGAUCCGAGCGUUAUCCGGAUUUAUUGGGUUUAAAGGGAGCGUAGGUGGACAGUUAAGUCAGUUGUGAAAGUUUGCGGCUCAACCGUAAAAUUGCAGUUGAUACUGGCUGUCUUGAGUACAGUAGAGGUGGGCGGAAUUCGUGGUGUAGCGGUGAAAUGCUUAGAUAUCACGAAGAACUCCGAUUGCGAAGGCAGCUCACUGGACUGCAACUGACACUGAUGCUCGAAAGUGUGGGUAUCAAACAGGAUUAGAUACCCUGGUAGUCCACACAGUAAACGAUGAAUACUCGCUGU